CCAACUUGAAUAAACGAGAGAUAUAAUCGAAAAACAUUUUAUAAGAGCAAGAGUAUAGAAAUCAUGCAUGCUUUGAAUAUAAAGCAGUAAACCAUCAUUUGACAUAAAAACCAUGUAUGCUUUGAGUAUAAAGCCUUAAGUCAUCAUUUGAUAUAAAACUGGAAAUCACCUUUAACUAGCAUGCUUUUAAAACAUAAGAGAUCAUAUCAUUUUUAAGCUCAGAAUUUUUCUCUGGCAUGCUAUAAGAGAAUUGAAUCUCAAAACGAAUUAUCAGAUAUAUUCGGACGCUAACAGGUGAAGAUAGCUGAUCAGUCUAUCAACACCGGACGGCGAUGAGGCCAUCACGAAUAAAUGUUCCGGAACCUAAAGACUAGCUAGGUCUUUAGCACGCUGGACUAGGGGGUUUAACAAUGUGCACCACCCCGACUUAGCCUCUUACGGAACCACAUGCUGGGUCGUUAUCAAAUUACGGAACCUCUUACGCAGCUCCAAAUAGAGAUAUCUGAUCCAUUUCCAGUUUCCAAUUUGAUUUGUAUCUAUCCCAUUUUCAAAACCAUUACAUGAUAUUCAUGAAUCAAUACCAUGUCUCAAAGAAUUAUACCACAGGUUUAGCAAUGAUAAUCACUAAACAUUUUCCAACACAUCAAAAGUUUAGCAAUGAUAAUCACUAAACAUUUUCCGAAUUAAAAUCUCAUUCGGGAUAGAUAAUCACAAGAUACUAUUCCCCUAAACCACAUUUUAAAAGAUAUUGAAAUCCAUAGAAACAGGGGAAUACGUACUUAAAACAUUUGAUAUUUGAGAUGCAUUCUUGCUCUACUUUAUUAAUAUAUAAUCUGAACCACCAGAGAUAUGGUCAGAAGUACUUGCAGAGAUUUUAAAAUAUGAAUAUGGACACUUCUUUUGGAUAAAAGAGGAGUAUACUUGAUCUUUCAAAUAUAAGAGAAAGGUAGGAAUACUUGCACUUUCAAAUAUAUAAGAGAGAAAUGAGAAUACUUGCCUUUGGUCCUUAGCUUAUACACUCUUAGCUAACAUCCUUAUCUUAUUCUGCUUUCUCAAGACAUCACCCUCAACUAUUCCUGAUUCUCUGCUAUGGCGCUCAUGCGGUUGCUGCAGCCUGAUACGAAUCUUAUCUAAGUUCCGUCUUGAUCCCCAACGUCUGGUUCUACUCGUCUCGAACAAUCCGUAACUACUGAACCGCUAUACAACUCUCACCUUUUCUUGCCUUUGCUUGGUAUCACGCCCUCAAUGCUCGAUCCUAUUAUAAGCAAAAAGAUACUACUUUAGUAUCCUUCCGAAACGACUAUCCUAUUUCUACCCUUUCGUGAUAUAUAUAUACAUAUAUAUACAUGGCACAUUAUAUAGCACAUAACAAGUAGCACACGUUAUAGUUUUACAACUUACAACCAACUCAGAAUAUUAUUUAACACGAGAACGCGUAACUUAAGUUAAUACUUCUACAGAAAAUUCGGCAUGACCUACUCGUAAAUAGGACUAUCCCCUUGUUUUCAAAUCAAUCAAAUCAAGCUCUUUAAACUAAAUAAAAUACUAAUAUAAAGAAAAUCUGCCUCGACAUGCAGUAAAUCACAUAAGAAAAGUACCUGCCCCGACAUGCGGCACCUAACACAUAAUGAUAAAUAAUCCGCCCAGACAUGCGGCACCUAAACACAUAAUGAUUGAAAGAAACUAACAGCUUAUCUUUAAAACGGAAAGUAAUUCAAUAUUAAUACAUUAUACUAUCAAGAAUAACACUCUAACAUUUAACACGUAGCACUUAGCAGGUAUCACAUAUUUCCAUACAUUUACUUACCACUUACCAUAAUACUCAAUUUAGAUACUAUUACAAGUUGAAUUAAAUAAGCAUAGCACUAUAAUUGUUUAAGAUAUCGCAUAUUUAUAUUAUUAAUAUUAUUAUUUACUAUUAUUACUACUAGUGGAAGUAAUAAUAAUAAUAAAGAAUAAUACUAAUAUUUAUUAAUAUUCGACAUCCUAAAAUUACCAAGUAAACACAGUUUCACACAUUAACAGCAACAAUAAUGCUAUGCAGUACUGCUAUUACUACCAAAUCACAUAAAUAUUAUUUAUAGAUUUUAUAGAAAUAUCACAAAUCAGUAACUAUGUAAAUUUGAUUAAUAGUCCGAUAAUUAUAGGAUACACCCCCGUAUAAUUUUAAGAUCUAAAUUUUAUUUAAAAAUCGGCCAGUACCUCCUCUAUAUAUCGGACUACCAGUCGAUAUCAUAUCGACACAACAAAUCCCAAUAACCUGUAAUCAAACUCCAAUAAUCCAAAUUACAAAUACCAACCAAUCCACUAAAUAAUCCCAACAAAUUUAUAAUCAAUCCGAACAACUUGCUUUAUAACUACUAUCCAAAAUUAAUAUUCAAUCCAACGAACCAACAACUGAAAUAAUAAAUAAAAAUCGUAUAAAAAUCAGUUUAUGACUCGAGCCACUCGAAUAAUCUACUCAGCCACGUUUAGUCAACACACGGCCAACCCGGCCCCACACGAACACAUACCCACACAACACACGCACACACAGAACGCACACAUACACCCCCCGCACCAAUACACACCUCUGUUACACACAUAGCCGCACACACUAAUACACACACGAGAUACACACACUCACCCCAGCACACACUCACGCACUGAUUAUACACACAGACACGCAGCACAUAUAUGUAUACCUAUACACAGCAGCAAAACGACGGGAGAAAGGGGUGAGGCCGGCGGCGAGCGAACCCGCGACCGGGAACAGCGGCCGGAGACGCGGCCGGGCAGAGAUUGCCGGAAGGCAGCGAAGAAGGGCGGCCGAGGGGGAAGAAGCGGAGAGAAGGAGAUGCGCGAGGGAGAGAAAAACCGAGAGAGAGAGACUGAGGUUGCGUGGGAGAGACGAAGGAGAGUGAGAGAGCGAGAGGCGGUGAGAGAUUGUGUGAGAGAGAGUGUGGAGAGAGAUACAGGUGAGAGAUUGUUAUUUUUGGUGUGAAAAGAAACAGAGUUGAACUGAUUAAAAUGGAGAGGCUGCCACGUUUUACAAAAUAAGCCACGUACCCCUUUUGGGGCCGGUUCCGGACUGAAUUAACAAAUUAACAAACAAACUUGCAGAUAAAAAUGAUCCAGAUAAAUACCGAAAUAAUUUUAAAAAUCUCAAAAUAAUUGAAAACAUAUAAAAUAUGAUUUUCAUGAUUUUUGGAUCAUUUUUGAAAUUAGUAGAAACACCC
rnacentral:lncRNA from 1 species